AACGAACGCUGGCGGCAUGCCUAACACAUGCGAGUCGAACGAGACCUUCGGGUCUAGUGGCGCACGGGUGCGUAACGCGUGGGAAUCUGCCCUUGGGUUCGGAAUAACAGUCGGAAACGACUGCUAAUACCGGAUGAUGUCUUCGGACCAAAGAUUUAUCGCCCAGGGAUGAGCCCGCGUAGGAUUAGCUUGUUGGUGAGGUAAAGGCUCACCAAGGCGACGAUCCUUAGCUGGUCUGAGAGGAUGAUCAGCCACACUGGGACUGAGACACGGCCCAGACUCCUACGGGAGGCAGCAGUGGGGAAUAUUGGACAAUGGGCGAAAGCCUGAUCCAGCAAUGCCGCGUGAGUGAUGAAGGCCUUAGGGUUGUAAAGCUCUUUUACCCGGGAUGAUAAUGACAGUACCGGGAGAAUAAGCCCCGGCUAACUCCGUGCCAGCAGCCGCCGUAAAAC
rnacentral:rRNA from 1 species